GCCUGGUUAGCUCAGUCGGUAGGGCGUCAGACUUUUAAUCUGAGUUCAAGGGUUCGAGUCCAUUAUCGGGCG
rnacentral:tRNA from 1 species